rnacentral:rRNA from 1 species
GAUGAACGCUGGCGGCGUGCCUAAUACAUGCAAGUCGAGCGAACAGACGAUGAGCUUUCUCCUCUGCCGUUAGCGGCUGACGGGUGAGUAACACGUGCAUAACCUACCUAUAAUACUUGGGUAACUUCGUGAAACCGGAUCUAAUACUGGAUAAUAUAUUCAACCGCAUAGUUCAAUAGUUCAACACGCUUUUCCUGUCACUUAUAGAUGGAUUCGCGCCGCAUUAGCUAGUUGGUAAGGUAACGGCUUACCAAGGCUACGAUGCGUAGCCGACCUGAGAGGAUGAUCAGCCACACUGGAACUGAGACACGGUCCAGACUCCUACGGGAGGCAGCAGUAGGGAAUAUUCCGCAAAGGGCGAAAGCUUGACGCAGCAACGCCGCGUGAGUGAUGAAGGUCUUCGGAUCGUAAAACUCUGUUAUUAGGGAAGAAAAAAUGUGUAAGUAACUAUGCACGUCUUGACGGUACCUAAUCAGAAAGCAACGGCUAACUACGUG